UGACACACCUUUCCCAAGUCCUCAGGAAUGUUGUGUGGGAAACAAGAGAGGAAAGGUCGUACUGUCAUGCUGUGCAGUAUUUGAAUCUGUGACAAAUGAAGGAGAGAGGAAGCCUAACCUGCAAAUACAAGGAAUAGAAUAUGAGAACUAAUGUAACCGAGUGAACAAAGGGUUUGUAUGUGUGGGAGGGCAAGAAAAGAAGGAAGGAGCCUGCACAGUAAAUGGGCGUGGAAGUUUCACACUGAGUUUCACUCCUAGCUCUCAGUCCUUUCAUUUAACAACUUAUAUGGCACUGGGAUUUCACAGGAACAAGUCGGCAUUGGCGCUGUUGUCUGUCGGACUCCUACUACAAUGACAGCAGUGGUGUUUGGAUGACGACGUGUGGAAAUCUUCACUGAAACUUUCAUAUCUAAAGGAAGAAACUUCAUGCGGCAGCUGUCACCAUAAACUGGAAUUUUGUUUAGGAUACAAUACACCUGCCCACCAUCUCAUUAAGACUGUAAAUAACACACUGGACAAACAAAGAAGAAAUGUCUAAUUCACCUCAGACACAUGUAACGAUGGAUGAAGUGGUCCCACUGAAUACCAUUCCAGGGUCAGGUGACACACAAAAUAAUAACACUUGCAAUCAAGUAAUCAGCUGCACUGGACGUGGUGCUGCCUCCUGCUGCGGUGACAAGAACCACAGGAAACUAGCCAUCUGCAGCAUCAUCUGUGGGAUCUCCUGCAUUGGAAUCAAGGCUCUGAUCAAUUCAGUCAAGGCUGAGAAGACGACAGAUCCAGAGAUAGCUGCGAUGUUUUCACGACGGGCAAGAAAAUUUGGCAUCAUCUCCAUCGUGACAUGGGUUGCCAUUCUGGCUUUAAUUCCCAUACUAAUGGCACUAAUCUCAUAUCUUUUCACUCUGAAAGACUGAUCAACUUUGAUAAACCUCUACAGAAGAUAAACAGUGGAGUGGCUCUUCUCAUUUGGAUUUUUAUGGGGACAGACAGCAGACAGUACAACGCUGUUUAUCAAAUACUAAAAACCAUGAAGAUUGGUAGUUACACAAAACAGAAAAAGACUGCUUUAGUCUUUCUUGUGCUGAUAAAACAACUGCUUACCCAGUUUACACUUUUCUACUUGCUCUUAACCAUUUACAUUUUUUACACAAAGAACUUUUACAUGUUUUUUUUAUAUACACCAUGAUAUUUAUUUUAACAAUAUAUGAACAAAAUCUAAAUGACCAUAUAAAAUCCAGCAUUAACUAUAGUUUGAGACGUGACACAUAUACAUUAUAUAUUAAAGAUUACAAUUGUCAUUCCCCAGUAAGGACCCAAUCCUUAUUUUUGCACCUUAAGUUCCAUUACAAUUUAACAUACUCAUUCUUAGAUACUGUAUAAAUUUGCAGAUAACACAAAAGUUAAUGAAUUACUCAAUCUGACAAGUAGUAACAUAAACUUGUUCAAGGAUUGGGUCUGUACUGGAAAUAAAAUGGCAUGGCAGUGCUUCUUCAGAACAUUAUGAUAUCCUGCUCUUGUUGCCAACAUUAUCUUGGCAUUAUUGCAUUGUUACCAUAUUAGCUUUAUUAAUGUCAAAUGUAUCAAUAAGUUGUGCUUGUCUACAAACAUAUAAACAGAUACAAUUUAAUAAUAAAAUGACAAAUGUG